AUUAUGAGAGUUUGAUCCUGGCUCAGGACGAACGCUGGCGGCGUGCCUAAUACAUGCAAGUCGAACGCUUCUUUUCCCACCGGAGCUUGCUCCACCGGGAAAAGAGGAGUGGCGAACGGGUGAGUAACACGUGGGUAACCUGCCCA
rnacentral:rRNA from 1 species